CGUUGAGUCAGGUCUACAAUGUGAGUAGUAGACUGUGGUAUUGGGAGUAGAUAGCUAGGCUAGGCUAGUAGGCUAUGGUAUUGGUAUGUUGUGGUAUUGGGAGUAGAUAGCUAGGCUAGGCUAGUAGACUAUGGUAUUGGUAUGUUGUGGUAUUGGGAGUAGAUAGCUAGGCUAGGCUAGUAGGCUAUGGUAUUGGUAUGUUGUGGUAUUGGGAGUAGAUAGCUAGGCUAGGCUAGGAGGCUAUGGUAUUGGUAUGUUGUGGUAUUGGGAGUGGAUAGAUAGGCUAGUAGACUAUGGUAUUGGUAUGUUGUGGUAUUGGGAGUAGAUAGCUAGGCUAGGCUAGUAGGCUAUGGUAUUGGUAUGUUGUGGUAUUGGUCAGUAGAUAGCUAGGCUAGUAGACUGUGGUAUUGGGAGUAGAUAGCUAGGCUAGUAGGCUAUGGUAUUGGUAUGUUGUGGUAUUGGGAGUAGAUAGCU
rnacentral:lncRNA from 1 species